GAUGAACGCUGGCGGCGUGCCUAAUACAUGCAAGUCGAGCGAACAGACGAGGAGCUUGCUCCUCUGACGUUAGCGGCGGACGGGUGAGUAACACGUGUAUAACCUACCUAUAAUACUGGUAUAAUCUCGGGAAACCGGAGCUAAUACCGGAUAAUAUAUUGAACCGCAUGGUUCAAUAGUGAAAGACGGUUUUGCUGUCACUUAUAGAUGGAUCCGCGCCGCAUUAGCUUGUUGGUAAGGUAACGGCUUACCAAGGCGACGAUGCGUAGCCGCCCUGAGAGGGUGAUCAGCCACCCUGGGACUGAGACACGGUCCAGAGUGCUACGGGAGGCGGCCGGAGGGAUUCUGCCGGAAGGGGCGAAAGAUUGAGGGAGCAACGCGGCGUGAGUGAGGAACGUCUUCGGAUCGUAAAACUCUGUUAUUAGGGAGGAACAAAUGUGUAAGUAACUAUGCACGUCUGGACGGUAACUAAUCAGAAAGCCACGGCUAACUAAGUG
rnacentral:rRNA from 1 species